CCUACGGGCGGCAGCAGUGGGGAAUAUUGCGCAAUGGGCGAAAGCCUGACGCAGCGACGCCGCGUGAGGGAUGAAGGUCUUCGGAUCGUAAACCUCUGUCAGCAGGGAAGAACGGUCACGGGGCUAAUCAGCAGUGAAUUGACGGUACCUGCAAAGGAAGCACCGGCUAACUCCGUGCCAGCAGCCGCGGUAAGACGGAGGGUGCGAGCGUUCAUCGGAAUUACGGGGCGUAAAGCGCUCGUAGGCGGUAUGUCAAGUCCAGGGUGAAAUCCCCGCGCUCAACGUGGGAACUGCCUUUGAAACUGGCAAACUGGAGUGUGUGAGUGUAUAGUGGAAUUC
rnacentral:rRNA from 1 species